UAUAAGUAUAAACGAUUUAAUCGUGAAACCGCGAACGGCUCAUUAUAACAGCUAUAAUUUACUUGAUCUUGACAACCUACUUGGAUAACUGUGGUAAUUCUAGAGCUAAUACAUGCACCAAAGCUCUGACCUUACGGGAAGAGCGCAUUUAUUAGAACAAAACCAAACGACUUCGGUCGUCUUUUGUUGACUCAGAAUAACUAAGCUGAUCGCACGGUCAUGUACCGGCGACGUGUCUUUCAAGUAUCUGCCUUAUCAACUUUCGAUGGUAGUGUAUCUGACUACCAUGGUGGUGACGGGUAACGGAGGAUAAGGGUUCGACUCCGGAGAAGGGGCCUGAGAAAUGGCCACUACGUCUAAGGAUGGCAGCAGGCGCGCAAAUUACCCACUCUCAGAACGAGGAGGUAGUGACGAAAAAUAACGAGACCGUUCUCUACGAGGCCGGUCAUCGGAAUGGGUACAAUUUAAA
rnacentral:rRNA from 1 species